ACGCUCGACACCUACGCGAGGCAGCAGUGAGGAAUAUUGGUCAAUGGGCGCUAGCCUGAACCAGCCAAGUAGCGUGAAGGAUGAAGGCUCUAUGGGUCGUAAACUUCUUUUAUAUAAGAAUAAAGUGCAGUAUGUAUACUGUUUUGUAUGUAUUAUAUGAAUAAGGAUCGGCUAACUCCGUGCCAGCAGCCGCGGUAAUCUGAGCGGGCUGGCAAGGC
rnacentral:rRNA from 1 species